rnacentral:rRNA from 1 species
CGGCGACGGGUGAGUAACACGUGGAUAACCUACCUAUAAGACUGGGAUAACUUCGGGAAACCGGAGCUAAUACCGGAUAAUAUAUUGAACCGCAUGGUUCAAUAGUGAAAGACGGUUUUGCUGUCACUUAUAGAUGGAUCCGCGCCGCAUUAGCUAGUUGGUAAGGUAACGGCUUACCAAGGCAACAUGCGUAGCCGACCUGAGAGGGUGAUCGGCCACACUGGAACUGAGACACGGUCCAG